UGUCUGCUCGCCACCCACCAUCCGCCCAACACCAACCAAUCACCGCUCUGUACAAAUCAGCAUGGUUAUCGUUAUGUUUGUCACCUGCUUCAAUCCCAUUACGCCAUUCGCCGCUUUUUCGAAGUCGUUCAUUUGACAUUUUUUCUACAUUUUAGGAAGCAUCUUACAUCUAACUUUCAUAAUUUAGUGACAAAUUAUUCCCGUAAUGUAUGCGUUUGAAAAACUCAUUUGAAAUUUUGAUUUUCAUAUUAUCAUAUCAUUGCUUAUUGUUAUUUGAAAAAUCGGUUUCCAUAAUCCACUUUCUUGUAAUUACCAUUAACUUAUGGUAUGCUCAUUAUUGUGAUUCUGAAUAUUUUGCGUGAAAUUAUGAGAGAGUAAGAGAGAUGAGGUAGUAAAAGUUUGUUGACUUUGAAUUUUCCCUUUAAAAAAGCUAGCUCUCUCAAUUAAAACUGGACAAUUUGUGGAAAAUAUUUAUAAUUAUUGGUAUUCAACGGUUGCACCUAAUAUUAAAAAAUGACAACAGUUUAAAUACCCUCUAUAAUGUAUAAAAAUAUUCUAUAAAAAAACCUUAAUUAGUAUCAAAAUUUGAGCUCAAAUUAUGCGUUCAUCUCAAAUACUCUUCCAAACACAAAACUGUAACUGGAAAUACAGUAGUAAAAGUUCUAAUCUGAUCCGUCAUGGGUACCCAACUCCAGUUUGAAAAGCAAGCAUCUUUGGGGUUCGAGACUGAGAAACAAGCGAGAUCAUAUAUGAGUUAAUAUUAGUUUGAAGAUAUAUUCACACAUGUGUGGAGGAAAUGUGGUCUCUC